CCUACGGGGGGCUGCAGUGGGGAAUAUUGGACAAUGGGGGGAACCCUGAUCCAGCCAUGCCGCGUGUGUGAAGAAGGCCCUCGGGUUGUAAAGCACUUUCAGUGAGGAAGAACGCCUGGUGGUUAAUACCCAUCAGGAAAGACAUCACUCACAGAAGAAGCACCGGCUAACUCCGUGCCAGCAGCCGCGGUAAUACGGAGGGUGCGAGCGUUAAUCGGAAUUACUGGGCGUAAAGCGCGCGUAGGUGGCUUGAAGCCGGUUGUGAAAGCCCCGGGCUCAACCUGGGAACGGCAUCCGGAACUGUCAAGCUAGAGUGCAGGAGAGGAAGGUAGAAUUCCCGGUGUAGCGGUGAAAUGCGUAGAGAUCGGGAGGAAUACCAGUGGCGAAGGCGGCCUUCUGGACUGACACUGACACUGAGGUGCGAAAGCGUGGGUAGCAAACAGGAUUAGAUACCCCUGUAGUC
rnacentral:rRNA from 1 species